rnacentral:rRNA from 1 species
UGCAGUCGAGCGGACAAAGGGAGCUUGCUCCAUUUGGUUAGCGGCGGACGGGUGAGUAACACGUGGGCAACCUGCCCUGUAGAUUGGGAUAACAUCGAGAAAUCGGUGCUAAUACCGAAUAAUCAAUCGAAUCACAUGGUUUGAUUGUAAAAGAUGGCUCCGGCUAUCACUACGGGAUGGGCCCGCGGCGCAUUAGCUAGUUGGUAAGGUAAUGGCUUACCAAGGCGACGAUGCGUAGCCGACCUGAGAGGGUGAUCGGCCACACUGGGACUGAGACACGGCCCAGACUCCUACGGGAGGCAGCAGUAGGGAAUCUUCCGCAAUGGACGAAAGUCUGACGGAGCAACGCCGCGUGAGUGAUGAAGGUUUUCGGAUCGUAAAGCUCUGUUGUUAGGGAAGAACAAGUGCCGUUCGAAUAGGUCGGCACCUUGACGGUACCUAACCAGAAAGCCACGGCUAACUACGUGCCAGCAGCCGCGGUAAUACGUANGUGGCAAGCGUUGUCCGGAAUUAUUGGGCGUAAAGCGCGCGCAGGCGGUCUUUUAAGUCUGAUGUGAAAUCUCGGGGCUCAACCCCGAGCGGGUCAUGGAAACU